CUUGUCUCAAAGAUUAAGCCAUGCAUGUCUAAGUAUAAGCAAUUAUACCGCGAAACUGCGAAUGGCUCAUUAAAUCAGUUAUCGUUUAUUUGAUAGUACCUUACUACUUGGAUAACCGUGGUAAUUCUAGAGCUAAUACAUGCUAAAAAUCCCGACUUCGGAAGGGAUGUAUUUAUUAGAUUAAAAACCAAUGCCCUUCGGGGCUCUCUGGUGAUUCAUAAUAACUUCUCGAAUCGCACGGCCUUGCGCCGGCGAUGGUUCAUUCAAAUUUCUGCCCUAUCAACUUUCGACGGCUGGGUCUUGGCCAGCCAUGGUGACAACGGGUAACGGAGGGUUAGGGCUCGACCCCGGAGAAGGAGCCUGAGAAACGGCUACUACAUCCAAGGAAGGCAGCAGGCGCGCAAAUUACCCAAUCCCGACUCGGGGAGGUAGUGACAAUAAAUACUGAUACAGGGCUCUUUUGGGUCUUGUAAUUGGAAUGAGUACAAUUUAAAUCCCUUAACGAGGAACAAUUGGAGGGCAAGUCUGGUGCCAGCAGCCGCGGUAAUUCCAGCUCCAAUAGCGUAUAUUAAAGUUGUUGCAGUUAAAAAGCUCGUAGUUGAACCUUGGGCCUGGCUGGCCGGUCCGCCUCACCGCGUGCACUGGUCCGGCCGGGCCUUUCCCUCUGGGGAACCGCAUGCCCUUCACUGGGUGUGUCGGGGAACCAGGACUUUUACUUUGAACAAAUUAGAUCGCUUAAAGAAGGCCUAUGCUCGAAUACAUUAGCAUGGAAUAAUAGAAUAGGAC
rnacentral:rRNA from 1 species